GAUGAACGCUGGCGGCGUGCCUAAUACAUGCAAGUCGAGCGGACAGACGGGGAGCUUGCUCCUUUGACGUUAGCGACGGACGGGCGUGUAACACGUGGAUAACCUUCUUAUAUGACUGGGAUAACAACGGGAGAACGGUGCUAAUACCAGAUAAUAUAUUGAACCGCAGGGCUCAAUAGUUAAAGACGCUUUUGCUGUCUCUAUUAGCUGGAUCCGCCCCUCAUUAGCUAGUUGGUAAGGUAAAGGCCUACCAAGGCUACGAUGCGUUGCCGAUCUGAGAGGGUGAUCUGCCACACUGGAACUGAGACACGGUCCAGACUCCUACGGGAGGCAGCAGUAGGGAAUUUUCUGCAAUGGGCGGAAGCCUGACCCAGCAACGCCGCGUGAGUGAGGAAGGUCUUCGGAUUGUAAAACCCUUUUAUUAGGAAAGAACAACUGUGGAAGUAUACAUGCACGUUUUGACGGUACCUAAUCAGAAAGCCCCGGCUAACUACGUG
rnacentral:rRNA from 1 species